rnacentral:rRNA from 1 species
AUGGGUACUAUCCAGGAAAUCGAUAAACGUUGUCGGGCCUUUUUCUGGGCGGGUCAGGAUAAAGUUUCGGGCGGACAGUGUAAAGUGGCUUGGGAAUUUGUAUGUGCGCCGUUCUCUCGAGGGGGUCUAGGUUUUUCUUCUCUGCACCACUUAAACUCUUGCCUACUGCUUUCCCACCUAAAUAAGCUUCACUCAACUUUUGCUUCUGGGGCUCGCUCCCACCUUGCUGUCAAGUAUGGAUGGUCAGAUAACCGGGACCUUGAUACUCCUCACCCUUUUGAAUCUAGCGUUUGGCAUGAUAUGGCCAAGGGGCUUGAAUUUUUCCGUUCAAUAACGGAGGUGCAUGUUGGCAAUGGUAUGACCACCGCCUUUUGGGUGGACCUUUGGGUUCAAAACUCCACCCAAAAUCUCGCGACAAUUUUCCCUGCUCUCUUCUCCCAUACGCUCCGACCUUCGGCCACUGUUGCCCGGGUACUAAGCAUUCCUACUUUUAAUCUGGAUUUGGCACCGCGCCUUUCUCAUGUCACUGAGCUGGAACUAGAAAACCUACGCGCUAUGCUGGCAACUGUCUCCUUGAAUGUGCAGGUUCUUGACAAACGAAUUGGACGUAUCGACGGCAAGCCACUGGCUUGCAACUCGGCUUACAAGGCUAUUUGGAGCGACAAGCCAAUCGACUACUUCGCUCCGGCCAUUUGA